CUUCUGCUCUUUUACACCCCCAGGCGUCGGUCCACCACCAGUCUUUUGCCGGAAUCUUUUUAUUAAUUUGUGUAACGGCCCACGGAUGUCCUUCAAUGCAGCCAUCUAGACGGGAUAAGAUCGUAUAGGAUAACAGUCAUCAUCGGAGGCUACAAUUUUCCGAACCUACAACCUUCUGAGGAAUGCUAGGCCUUCAAGGUCUUUUGAUGUCACGCCGAUGGAGAGCAGGGUGUGGUCGAAGCGUCAGCCACGUUCCUGAUGAUCGGGUGGGACAUUGCGAGGACCACGGAGGUGGAAGUUACGAGGUCUCCAUGGAAACCAACGACGGAGCUCUCCAAACCAUCCUCAAUUUAUUUGUCCGCUAAAUGAGCCAAAACAGUCUCUAAUCCCUGUGCAAACAAUUAUUCGGAAUCCACACCCAUAGCUGGAGGUAUUCAGACCGGAGGAUUUGCAACUACGACGUCAAGAGCACGGAUGCGGAAUCGAAUGGGAACAAGGGAGAAGACGAAGGUGCUGCAGUUUCAAGUCACGGGCCAGAUGGGAAGAAUAGGACGGAGAAAAGGCGAAACAGAGGGGUCCCGAUGUGCAAGGAUCGUAGGAGACUUUGAGCGAUGAGCAAAAUUGGUGUUGAAUGCAUUGCAAGGUGAUGUCAUUCAUAAUGAUGCUGCGAGGAGGGGAAUUUCUAUCAACAUAGUACUGGAUUCUAGUUUCACGAAAUGUCCGGCAAGUGAUCACUCCUUUAGUUCCGCUCCGCAAAAUAAAUAUGUAGGGGUUGAUUACGUCGGAAGAUGAGUAAAUGUAGAGCGUUGCUUGAUUGUCCAACAAUGCGGUUUCUAUACCAAAUCCAGUUAAUUACCACCUUCCGGUGCAGUAGACAGAUUGAAACGUUAUACUUCCAGAAGAAUUAGCGUCGGAAGGAGAGAAGAAGCAAAUGUAGUCUAGUAGCAGUGGAGUACUAUUAAGUGGUGAAGUACUUUCAAACUUUUUACAACUGCCGCAGCACAAUCCAACACAGUCCAAGAAAUGAGCUUUGUUCUGGUCUGUCAAGCUGCGGAUCUGCUCAAGAGUUGAUGGCGGCAAUCUCUGUUUUCCAGCCCUGUCUUGAUGUAAGAGCCGUAGAGCUUCGUUUUCCAUUUUUCUGCAAUGCCAAAGUGGCUGAUGGAAGCAAGAUAGCCUUGAUGGACAGACUACCUUUUGCAAUCAGUUCAGCAAGGAGUUUGUAGCGCAUGAGAAGUUGAUGAUGAGCUCCGAGGACAUGAGAUUCAACAUCGACUAUGCCGCAGUGACGGUGCCAAAGGUAUUGGUACCAUCAGUGUUGGUGCCGGAGGGGGACCUGCGAUUUUGGGGAGCGGUGUUCGUGCCGUCGAUCAUCACGCUGCUGAACGCGAUCACCACCCCCAAGUCUCUGCACUUGUUGGUAUUUUGGAGAACGUGAUGUCCUUGCACCGGACAAAGGCGACAACAAUCGGGUUGUUCGACAUUGGGAACGUGAACGAGUGGUUGGUGACGGAGAAGUUGGGCAACUUGAUGAAGUACAAGUCUGCCAAGUGCAAGAAGUACACGCUGCAGAGGAUGGCGCGCAACAUGCUAGCCAAGGGAUGGAAGAUGUUAGAGAGGUUUGGGAGUUAAUUAGGUUGGUGACAACAAUGGCAGUGAUCAUGCAGAAAAGUGACGGUGAAGCUUUUUCCUGCAUGAUCACUAAGCUUAGCAAAGAGAGGUAGUGAUCAUGCGGGAAAGCCGUAGUGAAGUUGGUGAAGAGCAAUCUGCUGCUGGACAGACUUAGGAAGGUAUGUUUUUUCUUUUCUUUUCCAACCAGUACUCUGAUUGGUAUACCUGUAUACAUACCAGAUUAGUAUUUAAGAAGAUUAUCUGUUCGGAGUAA